rnacentral:tRNA from 1 species
CGCUUUGUAGCCCAAUUGGUAGAGGCAACGGUUUUAGAAGCCGUCAAGUGAGAGUUCGAAUCCCUCCAGAGCGA